UACGGGGGGAGCAAGCGUUGUUCGGAUUUACUGGGCGUAAAGGGCGCGUAGGCGGCCACCGCAAGUCGGUUGUGAAAUCUCUGGGCUUAACCCAGAAAGGUCAACCGAUACUGCGGGGCUAGAGUGCAGAAGGGGCAACUGGAAUUCUCGGUGUAGCGGUGGAAAUGCGUAGAUAAUUGGGAGGAACACCAGUGGCGAAGGCGGCUCACUGGCCCGAUACUGACGCUGAGGCACGAAAGCGUGGGGAGCAAACAGG
rnacentral:rRNA from 1 species